GGUAUUCCAGAUCUUUGGUGUUUAUAUAUUCUUGUAAAAGGAUUUCUGUAAACAGUAGCUGGAAAAUGAAGUGCUUACUUCUGGCCUCUGAAACUUCCCAGACCCACGUGGCUGUAACAGGCAGCCUCCACUAUCCCCGGUAUCCCAUCAGCAGAAUGCAGCAGCCCUGUGUCCUGCUGUGGUGAGCUCACUGUGGUAGAGGAAGGCCUAACAACAAGCACUGCAAAUGGAGAGAAAGUACACCAAGUCUGGUUUGAAAUAUCCUUCAGCAUCACUGAAGGCAGUUUUUUUGGGUUUUUGUUUGUUUGCAUGUAUGUGAUGAUAAAAAAACAAAAAGAAGAUAUUGCUCUGGAAAUAACUAAUAUGAGGGAGGAGGAGGAGGAAAAUGGAUGAAUAGAAGAGUUGUCCUGGCGUGUGGCUGUGACUCAACACAUUUUAUUCUUGUUACCCUUUAAAAGUUGGAUCUAGACCCAUAAAAAUAUAAGUUCAGCUUUGUUAUUUAAUUUUUUCUUCGUGGUAGCUUACAGAAUGUAAACACUAAUGCUUAGUACAGGCAGCUUUAAACCACUGUGGCCUCUCUGUGAGACAUCUUAGUUCAUUUUUUCUAAUGGAAACUGGUGGGAAUUUCUUAAUGCUGCAAAACAAUCUCACUGUCAACUAAAUAGUCCAGAAGAUCAGUGACAGAAAAAGUACUAGAUAUUUAGACUAAAUGUGUUGAGAGACAUAGAGGAUAAGUAUGGGAGAUGCUGAAUGUAUGCUGCCAAAGGAAAGGUGCAAGUUUUGUUCAUGCAGAUUCAAGCUGAAUCUGAUUCAGAGAGAUAAUAUUACUGAAAUACGGGCUCUCUAAAGAAGUUCAAAAAAUUUUUUGUACUACAUAUGAUAAAACUACUUUUUAUGGCCGCUGAGUUAACAUUCUGAAUUCCUGGUGAACAUAAAAUCAAGCACUCACCAGGUAGAUUGCUCUGGAAGUUAAUCUGCUGGCCCCUUAUUUACAAGGUAGAUCAGUGGAUCGUGAUGGAACGUAAAGACAGAGUUGGGAUGGAAGAAUUUUUUAUAUGGCUUUUUAUCUAUUACUUUUAGUGUGCUAGGCCUGGAAACAAUUGUUUAAUUUCUAUUACAUCUUUCUUCAUUAGGCU
rnacentral:lncRNA from 7 species